GGGGCCGGGCGGCCUUCCCCAGCCGCCCCGGCGUGCGAGCGGGGCGGCGUCCCGGGGGUAGCGGGGACCCCGCCCGGGACCGAGGGAGCGUGACCGCCUUUUCCCUCCCAGCUGCGGGGGACGGCGCAGUAGAGGACCGCCGCCCGGCCACUUAUCUAAAAGGGAGUCAGGGCCACGGGCGGAAUCAACUGGAAUCCUCACUUUCUCAAGCCACCGACCGCCCAGCCCGCAGCCUUACCGGGCGUAUCGGGCACCCCUCCCCCGGCAGCGCAUUUCCGCCGCCAGCGACCCGACGCCCCCCGGCCCCCCCGCAGGCCCAGUGCCCUUGCAGGGAGAGAUUGCACACCCAUAGCAUAGGUCUUUAGUACUCUGCGAAUAACGUGAUGAUACAAAGGUUGGACUGAGAAAGGAAAGAAAAAAACAAAACAUUUUGGGUCAGUUCACGAGCGUCUGGCCCUCUGGCUUCACAAGUCAGGAAAGCCAGGCCGCAGCGAUGGGGAAGGGGUCUGGGGGCUUCCUCUCCGACUUGCGGGCGCGUCAUCUGGCUGAAGAACGCACGCUGGCCCGUGGGAGGCACAGGAGAUCACCAAGGCCUCGACUGAUCCACUAGUGGAAGGAAGUUUGGUUUUUGACCUGCCGGCAACGCAGCGUCUCACGUUUCUGACUUGUCUUUGAAAAGAAUCGCGACAACCCGGUAGAGAGUGGCCAGGGAGGCACAUGAAACAGCAAUGUGGAAACAAUGCCGGUAUUUUUUUUCCACAAAAGAAAGACCAUCUUUCCCCGGGUGUUGUCCCCUCUCUUGGUCCUAGUGCAGGAGCUUUUGAAAGAUAAAGGAUGCUUUAUUGUGUCACCUGGCCUUUGCUUAGCACUGGAUACAGCCAGCCCAGGGGUUGCGAUAUUCGGAGAUUCUCUCUGGACUCCACAGCUGGAGGGAAGAAUUGCAGGGCAGAGGAGGCAUACACGUCAACACAUACACACGUGAUCAGCAAGGAUGAUUUCAGAGCAUUGACUUCCAACCCCUUCCCACCUGCCUAGCGACUCAACUCAGCAGACUGGCCCACUGUUCCGGUCCUGUUGGAGGAGGUCACCGAGAGGACCUGACCGCUAACUGAGCCUCAAGCUGGACCCAGGCAAUUGGAGGCGCCUCCCUCCCUCCCCUGUCCUUGGAAGAUAUGUUCUGCCCACUGUUCCAAGGAUGCAGCCGGAGCUGUUCCAAGGAUGCAGCCAUGAGAGAGCAAUGUGGUGUUGAGACCGUUUGGACGGUCAAUGUAACUGAACCCCGGUGUCGGGUUUGGAUGAUAAAUUAUACAGGCUCCCCAUCCAUCUCUCAUCUGUCACUAGCUGCUGAGAAUGCUUCUUCUCAAAAUAGAGCCACCUUCCCUGUCCAAGCUUCGUCACUUGCUGCCUGUCUACAUUGCAGCGGCCCUGUGCUUCCUUCUCAUCCGAUCCACACCGUACACGUCUCCUCUAAAACACAGCUCUCAACGUGGGACACCCACCCAAAUGCUUCCAACGAUGUCCAGUCACCUAGAACCGCUAAAUCAAAACAAUCACAAGCCACCUUCUAAAGUCCUGGGUCAUCUCUAAAAGUCGUAUUUCUUUUUAGGCAGAUUAGCUGCUCGCUAAUCUGGACACUUGACUAUCAUCAGGUUAACUCUUCACCGAGUCCACACUCCAAGCAAGCCCUCACAUUCAUGGCUCUGCUGACACGGUUAAACUUUUUCCCAUCUUCUCCAGCCCUAGCUUCUCUCUCUACAACUCAGCCCGCUCCUUGUCCGGAAGUCCUUCGUCAAGUGCAAGGAGCGUGGGUUUCACAUUCACGAAGAUCUGAAUUUGAUUGUAGAUCCUAGUGUCCAGGCACUAACCAUUAUGUUUUAUUGAUCCUAAAACAUACCUCCCCCCCCCAACAUUUUAACAUACCUGGGAAUGAAAUAUGCCUUAAAAUCUACGGCACCUUAGCAUCAGUAAAAUAUAGUAGCUCUCUGGCUUUGUGUUCUAACACAGACUCUCCGAGUCUUGGUUUCCUCAUCUUUUAAAACAGGAAUAAUACCCGAGUCUCAAGACUGUUGUGGAAAUGACUUGAGAUAACUGUAGUCGAGACCCGGGUUGGGGAUAUCUCCGUGGGAAUCUGGAUACUAUGUCCAGCCAUUUUGUAAUCAUCACCCAGUAUCUCACGGGAAGGUGUACCACGUGCAAACAUUGCAUUGCAACAGAUACCAAAGUUUGUGUCCUAAUAGACUUACACAGAAUCCUCUGCAGUGUGCUGAAUCAGAAAGUAGUCUCACCCACAGGGGUGGGUGGCUUAGCCACGACAUUCCACUGAGAAAUCUGUUCAGAGGAAAUAAGGGGGACCUUUCUCCAGGGGUAAUUGGUCAAGUAGCUUUUAGUUGGAAAGAUGUCAUUUGCUUCGAGAAAACUACAAAAGCAGCUUUGUCCUUAAUUUAUUCCUAAGUAGAAAAUCUUCAAAAACUGAUUUUAUGUAAAAAAAUCCCCAGGUAGGUAAGUAUUGGGUCCCAGGUGGAUGUUUUGAUACUGUUCAUUUGGAGAAUGUUCAUCGCCCUCCCUUGUGAGAGACCCUCCCCUUGCUGUACAAAAGAUUGCCCACUCUGAGAAGCCUGGCAGGCAGCCACCCACCCUGGGAUACAACUACCUGACUGGCAAGGGAAUCUUUCCUUCUGUGUCCUUUUGCUGCAGCCUCAGGUGAGAAGCCCAUCCUUUGCAGAAGAGCCCCAGGUACAGAUCAUCAAGGGUUGUGGUGUAGGAUUUUAACUGGAGCUAUCAGUAACUAUGAGGUCAUGAUCUGAUAUUCUAGCUCUGCCCCCAGGAAGAGCCUGAAUCAAUAAUACCCCAUGGCAAUAAGCUCACUUAGGGACCAGGUGUUGGUUUCUAACUAUUUUCUACCAAAAAGAACCAAGGCUCCCUAGAGAAUUGGCUGAUAGUAGGUCUGAGUCAGGAACGUGUUGCAUGCUGGAAAGCAAAGACAUGUUCAAAGACAAUUUAAUAGUUCAUAUCAAAAGGACACAGAAGCCAGCUUGAAAGGGAGUCCACUGACCAAAUCUGGAAGACUUUAAGGAUCAAAAAGAAUAGGGACUUCCCUGGUGGCGCAAUGGUUAAGAAUCUGCCUGCCGACACAGGGGACACGGGUUCGAGCCCUGCUCCGGGGAGAUCCCACAUGCCGCGGAGCAGUUAAGCCCAUGCACCACAACUACUGAGCCUGAGCUCUAGAGCCCGCGAGCCACAACUACUGAGCCUGCGAGCCACAACUGCU